rnacentral:rRNA from 1 species
AAUGAACGUUGGCGGCGUGGAUUAGGCAUGCAAGUCGCGCGACAAGCCUCCUUCGGGAGGUGGAGGAGCGGCGAAAGGGAGAGUAACGAGUGGAUACUUGCCCUUGGGUCCGGAAUAGCAGUGGGAAACUGCUGGUAAUACCGGAUAACAUCUCUGGAUCAAAGGUGUGAUUCCGCCCAAGGAUAGGUCCGCUUCCUAUUAGGUAGUUGGUGGGGUAAAGGCCUACCAAGCCAAAGAUGGGUACCGGGUGUGAGAGCAUGGCCCGGCUCACUGGGACUGAGACACUGCCCAGACACCUACGGGUGGCUGCAGUCGAGAAUCUUCCGCAAUGGACGAAAGUCUGACGGAGCGACGCCGCGUGCGGGAUGAAGGCUUUCGGGUUGUAAACCGCUGUCAGUGGGGAGCAAAUGCAUAGGGGUUAUCCUCUAUGUUUGAGCGAUCCGCAGAGGAAGCACAGGCUAAGUUCGUGCCAGCCGCCGCCGUAACAC